rnacentral:rRNA from 1 species
CUACCUGCAGUCGAGCGGUAACAGAAAGUAGCUUGCUAUUUUGCUGACGAGCGGCGGACGGGUGAGUAAUGCUUGGGAACAUGCCUUGAGGUGGGGGACAACAGUUGGAAACGACUGCUAAUACCGCAUAAUGUCUACGGACCAAAGGGGGCUUCGGCUCUCGCCUUUAGAUUGGCCCAAGUGGGAUUAGCUAGUUGGUGAGGUAAUGGCUCACCAAGGCAACGAUCCCUAGCUGGUUUGAGAGGAUGAUCAGCCACACUGGAACUGAGACACGGUCCAGACUCCUACGGGAGGCAGCAGUGGGGAAUAUUGCACAAUGGGCGAAAGCCUGAUGCAGCCAUGCCGCGUGUGUGAAGAAGGCCUUCGGGUUGUAAAGCACUUUCAGUCAGGAGGAAAGGGUGUGAGUUAAUACCUCACAUCUGUGACGUUACUGACAGAAGAAGCACCGGCUAACUCCGUGCCAGCAGCCGCGGUAAUACGGAGGGUGCGAGCGUUAAUCGGAAUUACUGGGCGUAAAGCGUACGCAGGCGGUUUGUUAAGCGAGAUGUGAAAGCCCCGGGCUCAACCUGGGAACUGCAUUUCGAACUGGCAAACUAGAGUGUGAUAGAGGGUGGUAGAAUUUCAGGUGUAGCGGUGAAAUGCGUAGAGAUCUGAAGGAAUACCGAUGGCGAAGGCAGCCACCUGGGUCAACACUGACGCUCAUGUACGAAAGCGUGGGGAGCAAACGGGAUUAGAUACCCCGGUAGUCCACGCCGUAAACGAUGUCUACUAGAAGCUCGGCUACCUGCAGCUACCUGCAGCUACCUGCAGCUACCUGCAGCUACCUGCAGGAGUAC